rnacentral:rRNA from 1 species
AUACGUAGGGGGCGAGCGUUGUCCGGAAUGAUUGGGCGUAAAGGGCGCGUAGGCGGCUUUGCAAGUCAGUAGUGGAAGUCCAUUUUUCAAGGAUGGAAGUGCUACAGAAACUGCGGAGCUUGAGUGCAGGAGAGGUUACCGGAAUUCCCGGAGUAGCGGUGAAAUGAGUAGAGAUCGGGAGGAACACCAGUGGCGAAGGCGGGUAACUGGACUGCAACUGACGCUGAGGCGCGAAAGUGUGGGGAGCAAACAGGAUUAGAUACCCUGGUAGUCCACACUGUAAACGAUGAAUGCUAGGUGUAGGAGGUAUCGACCCCUUCUGUGCCGCAGUAAACACAGUAAGCAUUCCGCCUGGGGAGUACGGUCGCAAGAUUAAAACUCAAAUGAAUUGACGGGG